rnacentral:rRNA from 1 species
UACGAAGGGGGCUAGCGUUGUUCGGAAUUACUGGGCGUAAAGCGCACGUAGGCGGAUUGUUAAGUUAGGGGUGAAAUCCCAGGGCUCAACCCUGGAACUGCCUUUAAUACUGGCAAUCUCGAGUCCGAGAGAGGUGAGUGGAAUUCCGAGUGUAGAGGUGAAAUUCGUAGAUAUUCGGAGGAACACCAGUGGCGAAGGCGGCUCACUGGCUCGGUACUGACGCUCAGGCGCGGACAGCGUGGGGAUCGAAACAAGGAUUGAGAAACCCCCGG